rnacentral:sRNA from 1 species
CCCAGUGCUGCUUUAGGCCAGUGUGGCUGAGGGUCUGUCUAGUCUGUCCUUGUACUCACGGCUUCCUUUUCUCUCGCAGACGCCCACUAUUGCUUGGUUCUACUUCCUUUAUCCCGAUUGGCCGUCGGACUUAUGCCAGUGCGGCGGAGCCGGUUGGCAGCAAAGCUGUCCUGGUCACAGGCUGUGACUCUGGAUUUGGGUUCUCAUUGGCCAAGCAUCUGCAUUCAAAAGGCUUCCUUGUGUUUGCUGGCUGCUUGAUGAAGGACAAAGGCCAUGAUGGGGUCAAGGAGCUGGACAGCCUAAACAGUGACCGAUUGAGAACCGUCCAGCUCAAUGUCUGCAGCAGCGAAGAGGUGGAGAAAGCGGUGGAGAUUGUCCGCUCGAGCCUGAAGGACCCUGAGAAAGGGAUGUGGGGCCUCGUUAACAAUGCCGGCAUCUCAACGUUCGGGGAGGUGGAGUUCACCAGCCUGGAGACCUACAAGCAGGUGGCAGAAGUGAACCUUUGGGGCACAGUGCGGAUGACGAAAUCCUUUCUCCCCCUCAUCCGAAGGGCCAAAGGCCGCGUCGUCAAUAUCAGCAGCAUGCUGGGCCGCAU